rnacentral:misc_RNA from 1 species
GAUGAAGAACGUAGCGAAAUGCGAUAAGUAAUGUGAAUUGCAGAAUUCAGUGAAUCAUCGAAUCUUUGAACGCACCUUGCGCCUUUUGGUAUUCCGAAAGGCACACCUGUUUGAGCGUCAUGAAUACCUCAAUCUCCAUCUUUUCUUCGGAUUGAUGGGUGACUUGGAUGUUGAGCCCUGCUGGUAUGCUAUAUCAGCUGGCUUUAAACUUAUUAGCCGGCUCUGUACUGGAUCGGUUUGACUCGACGUGAUAAUAUUAUCGUUGAGGAUGCAUGUCUCAUGCAGCCGGAAAGUAUCAAAGCAGCUUCUAGCUUGCCUUUAGUGCACUUUUACAUUUUAGACCUCAGAUCAGGUGGGACUACCCGCUGAACUUAAGCAUUCAAUAAGCGGAGGA